CACGUAGGACGCGAGCGUUAUCCGGAUUCACUGGGCGUAAAGCGCUUGCAGGCGGUCUGAUAAGUUGGACGUGAAAGCCCUGAGCUUAACUUGGGGAGGCCGUUCAAUACUGUCAGGCUAGAGGGAGGCAGAGGAGAGUGGAAUUCCCGGUGUAGCGGUAAAAUGCAUAGAUAUCGGGAGGAACACCAGUGGCGAAGGCGACUCUCUGGGUCUACCCUGACGCUCAGAAGCGAAGGCCAGGGGAGAAAACAGG
rnacentral:rRNA from 1 species